rnacentral:lncRNA from 1 species
GUGGCUUGCCACUGUGAGAGGUCAGGAGAGACCAUUGGUGAAGGUGCAGCCUCAGUAGCUGUUGAAGGCCAGAUAGACUGAAGGAGUCAUGAAGAGAAACCGAGGCUCGGCAUCAUGAAUAAAUCCUAGGACAUUGGUAAAAGCACAGCCCAGUUGCAGUCAAAGAUCCCAGCAUUGUGGAGAUGCCAGUACCUUGGCAUGAUCACCAAGAGCAGCAGUGGCCAUAGAAUGGCGCCUACCCGAGCUUAGAGGACAAGCUGUGUGUGCUACAGAGGAGCUGGAGAAGUGGCCCAAGCCCCUUGUAGGAGGCCAGAAGAUGGUUAGUGAAUCCCAGGUUUGAUUUGAUGGAUAAAAUUCAAACACAGUGGAUCAAUGUCUCUGAUCUAGAGUCAUAAAAGGGGAACCUCCAGCCAUCAGGAAAAUAAAGGACACCUACCACAGACUCUUGGAUAUUCUAUAAUUGGUGGAAUUUACAAUCUCUCGAGCAGAGCAGUAGAAGAAAUCAACUCUGGUGCUAGGAAAUGUGGCGCCACCUCUGUUUGUAAACUCCAAUCCAGAGCUGUAGUUGUUUCUCCUUUUGGCCCUACACUGUAGAACCAAAGCCGUGCCCAACAGAAGUAGCCUCACCCUGAGUGUCUGAAGCCAGUAUACACGUGAUGGCCUUGACUUCUCACAGGGGCAGACUGUGAACUGGACCUAUAAACCAAACAUUCUCUUCCUCCCUUGAACUGAGCUAGUCAAGGUCUUUGUUAUCACAGGAAGAACUGAAGAAACCAAUGCAUCUAAGGGGCCAGCACAUCCAGAGUGCAAAGGGUAAUCAUUGCCCUAGGAAAGACAACUUUUUGAUCCUGUUUUCUCUACCAGGAAAGUUCUUAUUUCACAAUUGUAAGGACGCUUCGGAAAAAGUUCAUGGAACAUUCAGUUGACAACUGUCCUGGUAUUCAAAUCAAAAGUGUGGUGAUACGAUUUUAUGAAAACAUCUCUUACAUUGAAAGUGACUUUGGUUUUGAUUGAGUCUCACAACCGAGUUACUGAUACAAUUUAAGACCGCUUAAGACUCCGCCGGAGAAGCUACCGUGGAUUCAUCCUUUCUUUUUACAAGAACAAUGUAGUCCAAAAACUUGUCUUAGACUUCCUGUGUACUUAGCUUUCAUAAGCUAAGCUAAUGCAUAGCUAUAACUUUAAAUUAUAUAUUGUGUCAUGCCCCUCGCCAUGAGAGCAAUAUAUGUGUGUUAUGAUAAUCAUUUGUUAAAAACAUCAAAUAGGUUGAGGGGAGCCUUAUACAAUAAAUACCACCAUAAAUGUUGGAAACAGC